ACGUACGGCCAUACCCCCUUGAAAGCGUCCGAUCCCGUCCGCUCUCGGGUAUAAGCUUGGGAGGGCCGAACCAGUAGUUGGGUCGGUGACGACCAGCGAAUCCUCGGUGCUGUAUGUU
rnacentral:rRNA from 1 species